rnacentral:rRNA from 1 species
UACGUAGGGUGCGAGCGUUGUCCGGAUUUAUUGGGCGUAAAGAGCGUGUAGGCGGCCAGGUAGGUCUGCUGUGAAAACUCGAGGCUCAACCUCGAGACGUCGGCGGAAACCAUCUGGCUAGAGUCCGGAAGAGGAGAGUGGAAUUCCUGGUGUAGCGGUGAAUGCGCAGAUAUCAGGAAGAACACCCGUGGCAAAGGCGGCUCUCUGGGACGGUACUGACGCUGAGACGCGAAAGCGUGGGGAGCGAACAGG